rnacentral:rRNA from 1 species
GAUGAACGCUGGCGGCGUGCCUAAUACAUGCAAGUCGAGCGAACGGACGAGAAGCUUGCUUCUCUGAUGUUAGCGGCGGACGGGUGAGUAACACGUGGAUAACCUACUUAUAAGACUGGGAUAACUUCGGGAAACAGUAGAUAAUACCGGAUAAUAUUUUGAACCGCAUGGUUCAAAAGUGAAAGACGGUCUUGCUGUUACUUAUAGAUGGAUCCGCGCUGCAUUAGCUAGUUGGUAAGGUAACGGCUUACCAAGGCAACGAUGCAUAGCCGACCUGAGAGGGUGAUCGGCCACACUGGAACUGAGACACGGUCCAGACUCCUACGGGAGGCAGCAGUAGGGAAUAUUCCGCAAUGGGCGAAAGCCUGACGGAGCAACGCCGCGUGAGUGAUGAAGGUCUUCGGAUCGUAAACCUCUUUUAUUAGGGAAGAACAUAUGUGUAAUUAACUAUGCACAUCUUGACGGUACCUAAUCAGAAAGCCACGGCUAACUACGUG